rnacentral:rRNA from 1 species
AGUGGCGGACGGGUGAGUAACGCGUGAGCAAUUUGCCUUAAGGUGGGGGAUAACAACGGGAAACCGUUGCUAAUACCGCAUACGACGUCGGCAUCGAAAGGAGCGCCCUUUGAUGAGCUCGCGUCCCAUUAGCUAGUUGGUGAGAUAAUAGCCCACCAAGGCGACGAUGGGUAGCCGGACUGAGAGGUUGGCCGGCCACACUGGAACUGAGACACGGUCCAGACUCCUACGGGAGGCAGCAGUGAAGAAUAUUGGGCAAUGGGCGAAAGCCUGACCCAGCAACGCCGCGUGAGGGAAGAAGGUUCUCGGAUUGUAAACCUCUGUCCCAUGGGACGAAUGACGGUACCAUGGGAGGAAGCCCGGCUAACUACGUGCCAGCAGCCGCGGUAAUACGUAAGGGGCAAGCGUUGUCCGGAAUUAUUGGGCGUAAAGGGUGCGU